rnacentral:rRNA from 1 species
GAUGAACGCUGGCGGCGUGCCUAAUACAUGCAAGUCGAGCGAACGGACGAGAAGCUUGCUUUUCUGAUGUUAGCGGCGGACGGGUGAGUAACACGUGGAUAACCUACCUAUAAGACUGGGAUAACUUCGGGAAACCGGAGCUAAUACCGGAUAAUAUUUUGAACCGCAUGGUUUAAAAGUGAAAGACGGUCUUGCUGUCACUUAUAGAUGUAUCCGCGCUGCAUUAGCUAGUUGGUAAGGUAACGGCUUACCAAGGCAACGAUGCAUAGCCGACCUGAGAGGGUGAUCGGCCACACUGGAACUGAGACACGGUCCAGACUCCUACGGGAGGCAGCAGUAGGGAAUCUUCCGCAAAGGGCGAAAGCCUGACGGAGCAACGCCGCGUGAGUGAUGAAGGUCUUCGGAUCGUAAAACUCUGUUAUUAGGGAAGAACAUAUGUGUAAGUAACUGUGCACAUCUUGACGGUACCUAAUCAGAAAGCCACGGCUAACUACGUG